UAAAUAGCGGCUGGAGACCGAUAGCGAACAAGUACCGUGAGGGAAAGAUGACAAGCACUUUGAAAAGAGGGUGAAAAGAGCCUGAAACCGUCACGGGGGAAGCGGAUUGCGUUGGAUUGAUGGGCGCUUGUGUGUUCAGCCUUCGGGUGCAUUGGCACAAGUGCUUAUCCGCUGUGAGUUUUCGGGGGUCGAUUUUGGACCCCUGGGGACUGAGGGCUCCCUUCUUUUAGGUGAGGACAGCGGAGUGACGACGCGAUACGACCCGUCUUGAAACACGGACCAAGGAGUCUAGCGCGGGUGCGAGUCGGAGGGUGCAAGCCCGUGGGCGAAGUGAAAGCGAGUUUUAAAAACGAGCAGUUUGGGGCGGCAUAAGAUCGUUGAUCUUAAGACCGACCCGGAGCAGUUGCGCUGGGACCCGAAAGAUGGUGAACUAUGCCGGAGUAGGGCAAAGCCAGAGGAAACUCUGGUGGAGGCUCGUAGCGGUGCUGACGUGCAAAUCGCUCGUCGAACUUGGGUAUAGGGGCGAAAGACUAAUCGAACCAUCUAGUAGCUGGUUCCCUCCGAAGUUUCUCUCAGGAUAGCGGGCCGACAAGUUGUUUUGUGCGGUAAAGCGAAUGAUUAGCGCAUUCGGGGGCGUUUAGCCUUUGGGCGAUUCUCAAACUUUCAAUGCGCAAGGGUGCCGCUGCUUAAUUGAGCGGUACCGGUAAAAACGUCGGCCCUGUGGGCCACUUUUGGUAAGCA
rnacentral:rRNA from 1 species